AAACUUUCAGCAACGGAUCUCUUGGUUCUCGCAUCGAUGAAGAACGCAGCGAAUUGCGAUAAGUAAUGUGAAUUGCAGAUUUUCGUGAAUCAUCGAAAUCUUUGAACGCAUAUUGCGCUCUAUAGUAUUCUAUAGAGCAUGCCUGUUUGAGCGUCAUUU
rnacentral:rRNA from 1 species